GUAUUAUUAGCACCUUCUGCACUCCUUUCAUGCCAGAAUGCUUGAGGAACCACAUCUAGGGCUGGGGCUGUGUGCUCUUGCAGGCAUUGUUGUCUGAUUUUUUGAUGCUACCAUCAUGCUCCCAUCUGCCUACAUUACCUACUCUGCAAGUCUUUACUUAAUGCUAAUUUUUCAUAUAAUUCUUAAUGUCCUCUACUUGGGAAAGAUCAACUGCUAAAUGGACAAAUCAAUGUGACAGGAAUGAGGAAAAAGUUUCCUUUGGAAACUGUCUCUGGAGAGGAACUGGAGGGCUGCAGGUGGAAGAGUUGUGACCAUAACUACAGUCUUGGUAAAUUGCAGGGGA
rnacentral:lncRNA from 14 species